GACGAACGCUGGCGGCGUGCCUAAUACAUGCAAGUAGAACGCACAGUUUAUACCGUAGCUUGUUACACCAUAGACUGUGAGUUGCGAACGGGUGAGUAACGCGUAGGUAACCUGCCUGGUAGCGGUGGGUAACUAUUGGAAACGAUAGCUAAUACCGCAUAAUAUUAAUUAUUGCAUGAUAAUUAAUUGAAAGGUUCAAUUGCACCACUACCAGAUGGACCUGCGUUGUAUUAGCUAGUAGGUGAGGUAACGGCUUACCUAGGCGACGAUACAUAGCCGACCUGAGAGGGUGAUCGGCCAACCUGGGAAUGAGACACGGCCCAGACUCCCACGGGAAGCAACAGUAAGGAAACUUCGGGAAUGGGCGGAAGUCUGGACGGGCAACGGCGCGUGAGUUGAGAAGGUUUUCGGAUCGGAAAGCUCUGUUGUAAGGGAAGAAAGAGUGUGGGAGUGGAAAGUUCACACUGUGACGGUAUCUUACCAGAAAGCGACGGCUAACUACGUG
rnacentral:rRNA from 1 species